AGCGUGGAGACAGGUGGUGCAUGGCUGUCGUCAGCUCGUGUCGUGAGAUGUUGGGUUAAGUCCCGCAACGAGCGCAACCCUCACCCCUUGUUGCCAUCAGGUGAUGCUGGGCACUCUAGGGGAACUGCCCCGGUCAACGGGGAGGAAGGCGGGGAUGACGUCAAGUCAUCAUGCCCCUUACGUCCUGGGCUACACACGUGCUACAAUGGCCGGUACAAAGGGAUGCAAGACCGUGAGGUGGAGCUAAACCCAAAAAGCCGGUCUAAGUUCAGAUUGGAGUCUGCAACUCGACUCCAUGAAGGAGGAAUCGCUAGUAAUCGCGCAUCAGCACGGCGCGGUGAAUACGUUCCCGGGCCUUGUACACACCGCCCGUCACACCACGAAAGCCAGCUGUACUCGAAGUCGCUGAG
rnacentral:rRNA from 1 species